rnacentral:rRNA from 1 species
AUUGAACGCUGGCGGCAGGCCUAACACAUGAAAGUCGAGCGAGCGGCGGACGGGUGAGUAAUGUAUGGGGACUGCCCGAUAGCGGGGGAUAACUCCUGGAACCGGUGGCUAAUACCGCAUACUAUCGGAUAACCCAUAUGGGAUUAGCUAGUAGGUGGGGUAAAGGCUCCCCUAGGCGACGAUCUCUAGCUGGUCUGAGAGGAUGAUCAGCCACACUGGGACUUAGACACGGCCCAGACUCCGACGGAGGCGGCAGUGGGGAAUAUUGCACUGUGGGCGCAAGCCUGAUGCAGCCAUGCCGCGUGUAUGAAGAAGGCCUUAGGGUUGUAAAGUACUUUCAGCUGGGAGGCGUUACCCGCAGAAGAAGCACCGGCUAACUCCGUGCCAGCAGCCGCGGUAAUUC